GACGAACGCUGGCGGCGUGCCUAAUACAUGCAAGUCGAGCGAAGUUUUUCUGGUGCUUGCACCGGAAAAACUUAGCGGCGAACGGGUGAGUAACACGUAAAGAACCUGCCUCAUAGACUGGGACAACUAUUGGAAACGAUAGCUAAUACCGGAUAAUAGCAUUAACUGCAUGGUUGAUGUUUAAAAGUUGGUUUUGCUAACACUAUGAGAUGGCUUUGCGGUGCAUUAGCUAGUUGGUGGGGUAAAGGCCUACCAAGGCGACGAUGCAUAGCCGACCUGAGAGGGUGAUCGGCCACACUGGGACUGAGACACGGCCCAGACUCCUACGGGAGGCAGCAGUAGGGAAUCUUCCGCAAUGGGCGAAAGCCUGACGGAACAACGCCGCGUGAGUGAAGAAGGAUUUCGGUUCGUAAAGCUCUGUUGUUAGGGAAGAAUGAUUGUGUAGUAACUAUACACAGUAGAGACGGUACCUAACCAGAAAGCCACGGCUAACUACGUG
rnacentral:rRNA from 1 species